UUUAUUUUGAGGAAUUUCAGGACUCUGCUAUACUUGUUUUGAACAAGCCUCCAAGAUUGCCUGUCAAGGGACAUCUUCCGGUUCAUAACAGUAUGGAUGCAUUGGCUGCGGCAGCACUAAGUUAUGACUACAGUGAAGGACCUAAGUUGGUUCAUCGUCUUGAUAGAGAUAGCAGUGGCCUCCUCUUAAUGGGACGAACAAAAGA